AGAAGUACUUUGCCACUCCUUCACCAGAUCUCAUCUCAAGAGUUUCAAAAUUUCUGCGGAGAGCUUGAAGAUGAGACCUCUUGACCCUUGCAUUUUCUUCGAAUUUUUUCUUCAUGGCUUCCCAUAUGUCUUUGGCAGUAUCCUUUUUUAGAAUGGUGUCAAGAAUAGUCCGUUCAAUUGCCUGGAAAAGAUAGUUCUUCACUUUCAGGUCCUUCAACUUCAUCUCAUCAUUCUUAUUUCGUUCUGCAUCUGUCUGCGCCGAUUCAAUUGUUGGUUCAAUAUAGCUAGGCUCUACCAGCCCCUAAAAUUCCUUCGAUCGUAAGAAAUUUUCCAUCAACAUGCUCCAAUGGUCAUAGUGACCAUCAAAGCGAGGAAUGGUUGGCUGUAUAAAACUCCCUUCUAUAGUCAUCUUCUGUGCUACUGCAAGAACUUCAAAGACUGCUGCUUUGAUAUGUCAGGCCCAAUGGGGGCUCUGAUACCAAAUUUUUGGGAACUUUGAUGAAACUAAGAACAAUAACACAACAAGCUGGAUUGAAUGACACAUUUUAUUAACAAUAACUUUGGCUUAAAUAGCCAUUCAAUAUAGAUCUAAACAGAAAACGAGAAAGCAGAGGAGAUAAAGAUAAAGCUAAGUAACAGAAACUUGGAACAGUUCAAAUAUCCCUAAAGAGUAGGACUUUCCUUGUAGACCGGAAUAUUAUUGUAACAAAACAACUGUAGUAAAACUCUUUCAAGAUAAUGGGUUCAAGCCAUUUCUCACAUUUUUUAAUAGGACUUUGGAUUUGUGAUUUCAUGGAAGAGAAUUUAAUCGCAUACAUUGCUUUCAUAUUUGUUUGAUCAUGGAAUAUCGUUAUGGAUAAUCACAUCGUUAUUUUCCUAUUUUAUCCUGGUAUUUGAUUUCAUAUUCGUUUGUUGGAUAUGAAUCCAAAAUUUUGUUCGUCUUUAUCUAUUAGAUAUAAAUCCAAAUUCUAUUUAUCUUUAUUUGUUUGAUGUAAAUCGAAAAUUUUGUUUGUUUCUAUUUCUUGGAUAUGAAUCAAAAUUUUGUUUGUCUUUAUUUAUUGGAUAUGAAUACAAAUUAUGUCUAGCUUUAUCUAUUGGAUAUGAAUCCAAAUUUUAUUUCUUUUAUUUCUCCUUCUUCUAUGGUUUUGUGUCUUAUUUUAUCUUUAUUCUAUUUUUUUAUUUUAAUGCGUCUUCCUCUCCUCCUACAACUACUUCUAGAAAUUGUUCUUGAUCCCUUUUUAUGGUAAGCUAUGAAGCCUUUUCAAUUUUUAGUUGGCAAACUCUUGAUACUUUUUACGGUCACAUCAUGUGUUUGUAGGGGAUAUUAGAGUUAUUAAUAUAUUUAGUUACUAUUUUAUAAUUAGAUAUUUAGUUACUAUAUUAAAAUUAUUUUCUUCCUUUUUAGAAGUAAGGGUAAAUUAAUAUUUAUUUUCUUUGAUUAAGCCUAUUCAAAUCGUAAUGGUGUUGUACCACUUUUCAAGAGAAUUCAUAAUGAAAAAUCCUAAUUUUUCUUUUCAUUUCUCUCUUUGUACCAUUUCAUACAAACUUUCACCAUUAUUUUUUUUUUAAGAAAAAAACACAAAUAUGAUGCAAACAUAACACACAAUACCCACAUGUUGCAACUAUUAUUUUCAGAAUAUAAUUUUUAUUUUAUUGUCACUUUUUAAAAUCAUAGCCCAAUUGUCUCAACAUUUAAUACAAAUAAUUUUUCUUCUUAACGAAUAAACAUUUCAUUAUCUUCAUCACGUUGGUUCACAACCAAUUAAAAUAGUCAAAUUUAUAAUUAGUUCCCAAAACUCCGAGGACAUUCUGAAAUUCUUCCUAAUCCUCUUACGAAUUAUUAGGAACAAUAUUUGCAUCUAAAAAGUUUUUAAAAGGAAGUGAUAGAUAUGUCCACAUUACUUAAUAAGGUGGUUUACACCCACAAGGGUUUAUUGGAAAAUCAUUAAUAACUAAGUACAUUGAAAUAAACAUUCAAAUAUUAAUUAAUCCAAACAUUUGAUAUUAAUCAGAAUACACAACAUGAGUACAUCUUGAUAAUUAAAUAAAAACGUAAAUGGACAUACAACACAUAAUCACACAAUGUAUCAUUGUUCUUAGGCUUUUUGUGAUACUCCCUAUGUGAUAUAUAAUAUCCCCCUAAAAUUUCAUAUGAAAUAGAAUACAUUUGGUUUGUGAAACGGCAUCCCGAAGACCCACAAUAUAAAGGUGUCAUCUUCACUAUUCUUUUUUUUCUUUCAUUUUUCCAUUUGGAUGCCAUAGUAAACACCCCCCUUUUUUUUUUCCCAUUGACCUUUCCCUUCCCUUUUUUUAUUUUUUAUUUUUUUAAGACUUCCUAAUUUCCUAAAAAAUUUAUCUUCAAUAAAGACAUAAAUUAUAUUCUCUUACAUGACCACUAAAAUUCUUGGAAUUUGUAUAAUCCAACUUCGAUACUUUUUUUUUUUUUUUUAAUUUUUCGACCACCAUUUUACUAAGAAAGUUUUCCAAUUCAUAAUUUCCUUGUGACCUAAAAGGCCCAAAUAUUACAAUUGGUCUAGGCCUGCCCCCAAAUCAGAGCAAAGAGAUACCUAGCGGGAGAUGACAUAUAGUGGCAUCUACAAACUCUCAAUUGUUGGCUUGGAAAUAAGAUUUAACGUGGAGAUUGUUGAGUGAUGGUUUGUGUUCUUGUAUUUUAGGACUGGUAAUGUGAUUUUAAACUCCUGCCAUGUUCAAGUUCCUAAUUUGCUCAACUCCUUGUUAUUAAAACUUUAUUAUUAUGAUCCUCAGGAAAUCAAACAAACACACUGCCUCACACAAAAUACACUCUAUGAUGCAGUAACCUCUAGGAACUCCAUAGUUUCUCAACACUCCAAAAAUGCAGAAGACACAGAGUUAUCAUUAUAGUGCUGCAAGGGUCAUGUCUCUUUCAAGCCUUCCAGGAAGCAAGGGGUGGAGUGUCAGAGGUCUUCCAGGUCAAUGUGAUGCUCUGGUAUCUGUCACCCUUAACCGCAUCUGCUGAAGCAAUGGAUUCUAGUUCAGCCAUUUCUUCUGGAGUUGGUUUCUCCAACAAAGCCCCAAUGUUUUGGUUGAGGUUUUCAAUCUUGGUAGUUCCCGGAGAGGGACACACAUCAUCCCCCUGGUGAUGGACCCAGGCCAGUGCUAGUUGUGAUGGAGUGCACCCCUUCCUUGUCGCAAUUUCACUAACCCGCUCAUAAAGGAUUUUAUUAUGCUCAAGAUUCUCCGGCUGGAACCUUGGUAGGUUCUGCAAUAUGAAACACGCAUCUCAGUAACAAAAUUGAAAACCCGACAUAAUUGCAUAACAUCAUUAUUCAGUGAUAAUGAAUCAUACGUGCGCUUCUAACAUUAGUUGAUAACACAAUAAGGCAGGUUCUCAGUCAUAAUAUAGAGUCAAGCCCUCUUGUUUAAACAGAUUAUAAGAUCUUGGACAACGUCGACGUCAACUGAAUCAAGUGCCAUUGUGAACAACAUGGCACUAGGUUAUGGCAUUGAGGCAUUUUCAUUACAUGAAUCAUCCAAAUGAACCGCCCUCUUUCUCAAGAAACAGCCUCCCAAAAAUUUAAAAUACAUAAACAAAUGUGCUAGUGUUGUGAGUAAGUUGCAGUAUCAGAGGUCAAAAACCAUUUCCUCAAUUGAGCUUUCCGGCCCUAAUACAAAGAGCCUCAGAGGACAGAUUAUAUAGUGAUUUGAAAGAAAAUAUUGAAUUAAAAUAAGGAGAAAAAUAGAGCAGAAAAAUAAGGGCUAGAUGAGAAAUAAGGACAUGGUAUUCUGGUAGAUGUAAAUGUUCGUCGAUAUUCUAUCUUUUAUAAUCUUUCUGCACAGUUUAGGUGAACUAAAAACUAUACCACCUCUGGGUCACAAAGUUUAUAAAGAAAACAAUUUGUUCUGUGAAUUGUUUCUCCCCAAAACUUAGGUCCUGUCGGUUUGGGUUUGGGCAUGGUUAAUUUGCCGGCAGUGUGUUCAUCACAGCUCUAACAACAAUUAAAACAAACAAGAAUUGUAGCUGUUGGCUGAAGGUGUUUUGUCGUGAUGAACUUCAACCAUCAAAUCAGCACAAAUAAGAUAUAAAAGGGCUUUUUCAACCAACUGAUUAGAUUUUUCUGGUCAGGAAAGCACACUGUCAAAGAGAUAGACUAGAUACGCAUUUACAGAUAAACUUCAUUUCCUUUCUCUUCUUGGCUCUACAAAUUAAAGGAAGUUGCUCCUUUUUUAGUUUUUGCCAAUAUUACUCCAUUUAAACUUCCUAUUGAAACAAUAUUACCUUGUUCAACAUUCCUCUGUAACACCACAAAUAAAAGAAGCAGGAAUAAGAAAUAGCAGUUCAUGUUUGAAUUAAAGAAGGUUUGGGACCCAACACAAUGUAAUCUAUAUUAUGAGAAUUAGAAGGCAUAUGGUAUGUAUACAAACCUUUCUCAAGUCAUUGUCUGAUAAGUUCUCGACCAUCUUGGCCCCUGAAGAAAGGAAUCCACGUCCUAGAGAGCUAUAUGCAACGAUCCCAAUGCCAAGUUCUCUGAGAAAAUAAGAAGGAUGAGUUAGAAAUUAAACUUUUAAAUGCUCUUCAAACAGCUUUUUCGGUCUACCGCCUUACCUGCAAGUUGGAACUAUGUCUUCUUCUACAUCUCUUGACCACAAGGACCACUCCAACUGCACAGAUGUUAUGGGAUGAACUGCAUGUGCUCUUCUGAUUGUUGAAGCAGAGGCCGCAGACAGACCUAUGUACUUUAUCUUACCCUCUUCAACUAGCUUCUUCAGUUCUCCCAUCUUACCGACGAGCAUAUAAAAAAAAGAAAGAUUAAUUACAAAAAAUAAAAUAAAAUAAAAAAUAAAGUUUGAAUUGAUAGGAAUAAAUCAUUUAUAUUAUAAGUUUACCCUAGAUAAGGUAAAGAGGAUUCUUACUACGAUACCAGUGAUUUUUAGAAAGGCCUCAAUUUAGUUACUAUAAUUUAAUCUUACUAUUAAUGAAUCUAAGGGUCAAAUCUAUAAGAUGUAUAUAGGCUUUUAAUGGAAUAAAAUUGGAAAUCAAAAGCAUAUUUAAUUGAUUUAAGAAACUAUGCUUAAAAAAAAACAUCUAAGUUUUGCAUGCAAUAUUAGGUGUAGGAUUCAAUUUGAUCGUGAUUGAUUUUGAUCUUAAACCCUAGAUUUUAUUUGCUCUCUCUCUAAGGAUUUGACACUGCAUCAAGAAACUCUUCAUAACAUUUUUCUUUGUUAGAUUUAUUUCAUUAAAUAUGUUAAGAAAAUUUUGUUCAUAUUUUAUCCUUAUUUAUUUAAAUUAAGGUAUCAUUAAUAUUAGAAAAUAAUUAAUCUUUCUACACAUUAAGUUGAUCCUAAAGGACAAUGAUCCAAAAUACUAUAAACUCAUGGUAAAUCCAUCUUUUGUUUUUCUUGGCCAAAGUUAUCAAAUAUUUAGGGUUUAGUAUUUUAAUUACAACAAAGGUUUAUGAUCGUAAAUCUCACAAACCCAAAAUUCUUCCACCCAAUGGCUCUCUUUCUUCUUGAAUUUAAGCAUUGGAGAUGGUGAAAGUCUCACGGAGAGGUGGUGGUUAGGACUUUCCUCUCUCUAGAGUGCAUAGGAAGACAAAAUUGAAUCCCCAACCCCUAAGGGGAAUUUAUAUAGACUUCUAGUGGAUUUAAGUAACUUGAGCAUGUAUUGAGUUUAGGUCAUUUAAUACAGUCCAAGUGACUUGUCCCGUGGAUCAAACCAUAACAAUACUAGGGUAUACACUUGGAAUAAUGCCUUAUUGAUGGUAUCUAUGAUGGCAUGCUAGAUACAAUAACAAUAGCCUUUAUUGUUAGUCUCCUAAUUAGUAUAAUACUAAAACAAAACUAUCAGCUCCAUUGGCCUGAUAGUGAUGAUGAAAUAAUUCUUUAUUGAUAACACACUAUUUGAUAGUGAAAUAUUAGAGCAAACCUUACUAGCUCCAUUAAUUAGGCCUUGAUGGCACUAAGAGGUUGACAUAAUAUCUCAUUGAUAACACCUUGUAUGUUAGAACAAUGGUUUCAAAUACCACUCUUCCAUUUGUUUUUAGUGAAAUGUAAACAUAAAAAUCACUAGCUUCAUUGUCAAAUCAUGACAAUAAAAAGACAUUGGAAUAAUGCCUCAUUGAUGACAUACUAAAUGUUGGAGUAGUAAGUAACCCAUUCUGUCAGUUCUUCAAUUAGAGACUCAUACAAUUGGCCUCCAUUAUUAAUUGCAAUGAUGUUAAAGGUUCUAUACUAGUUAGUAUAACACAUCUGCCUCUCCAUUAAUACUACAAUAUACUAAAGGUCAAGUAGAACAAAGAACUAGUGUACAACUAGCGAUACUAAAAGAAUAACUCCUUAUGAUCUAUUUUUCAAUGAAAAUAAGCUAACCUUAUUACAUUGGUUAAACUUCUCAUACUAAUCUUAAGUAGACAAAAAAAAUUAGAUGAUAUAAUUUACCCUAGAGUUUAUUAAGAAUGGAUGAUUUUUCCAUUUAAUAAGGUCAAUCUAAAGUAGACAAGAUAAAUGAAGUUCUUGAUGGGAGCCAUUUGCAAAGAUCGAAUUGAAUUAGGUCCAGGAUCCGAGGCCAAAAUUCAAUUUGUAAAGAUAGUUAUUGUUGUGGGACAUGUCUCUCAAUAAAAAAUUAAUAUCUCUUCAUGUUAGUCACCUGGAUUAUAGAGAAAAAAUAAAGUUAUAAGGGAAAAACGUAUUUCCAUACACUCAUAUGAAAAAAUACCGGUUGUAUACUAGUUAGGAUAACACAUUUGCCUCUCCAUUAAUACUACAGUAAACUAAAGGUCAAGUAGAAUAAGGAACUAGUGUGCAACUAGCAAUACUAAAAGAAUAACUCCUUGUGAUCUAUUUUUCAAUGAAAAUAAGCUAACCUUACUACAUUAAUCAAACUUCUCAUACUAAUUUGAAGUAGACAAAAAAAAUUAGGUGAUAAAUUACCCUAGAGUUUAUUAAGAAGUAGAUACUCUAGGGAGGACAACCCACUUAUUUGAAGGAAAUAGAUGGGAGGACCACUCAUUUAUUUGAAGAAAAUAGAUGAGAACAAUUUCACUGAUGACCCAUGACUAACCCACACUAGUCUUCCUCUUAAAAAUGAAUGAAGAAGGUUGUCUUGACCGGCAAUGAAAAAAAUUAAAAAUAUAGUGUGGAGCACGUGAGGUUCAUGUAUUGUGCAUGCUUUUCUUGGAUUUCCUCUUUAUCCAUUUAUAGCAGUGAAUUCGUUCCAAAAAUCCAGAUUUUUCAAUGGCAAAAUCCUCCUUUGCAUCAACAGCCAAUGUGCUGCCUUUUCUUUGUGUUGCCACAUGUCCUUUUUCCUUUUCAGUUUUCAAUAAUAUAACCACAUCCCUAAUUUUCCUAACUUCCCUUAAUUUCAAACAUAUUUCUCAUAUAUUUUUCUUUUAUAUUAUUUUAUAGUGAAGUUAAAUAUAAGAAAAUAAUUUUAUUCAACACUUUGUACUAAGAAAGGGAUAUGAAGUUCUUGAUGGGAGCCAUUUGCAAAGACCGAAUUGGAUUAGGUCCAAGAUUCGAGGCCAAAAUUCAAUUUGUAAAGACAGUUAUUAUUGUGGGACAUGUCUCUCAAUAAAAAAAAUUAAUCUCUCUUCAUCUUAGGCACUUGGAUUGUAGAGAAAAAAAUACUAAAAAAAAAUUAUUAAAGUUACAUUAGCAAUUAGGGAAAACAUGUUUUCAUACACUCAUAUAAAAAUAAAACCGUAAAAUAGAACUCAAGUUUAUAAAAUACAAAUUUUAAGUAACUAUCUAAAAAUAAUUAGUAUUUCAUACACUUUUUUAUCAAAUGUAGUACAUUUGACCAACUUAAGUACUACUUUCAUCAAUAAAAAAAUGAAACUUGAAUUAUUUUUAGAAGGUUCUUAUUUUAUAAUUAUUUUCACGUGAGUGUGUAAAAACUCACUUUUCCUAACAAUUAUGAUGGAUUGGCUAAUUGGUAACUUAGCACUCCAAUGGACAGACUUUCUAUUUUGAUUUUUAAAAAGAGUAAGUUGAAGUAAUUUAUUUAUAAAUAUAGUAACUAUGAUGUAAAUAAGUAUGUAUAUAUGAUGACACAUGGUAGCAUUUACAAGUCAAUGAUCCGCCUAAAAAUAAGAUUUAGAGUCCAUUUGCUAAUAAUUUUAAGAUUUAGAGUCCUUUUGGUAAUAAUUUUAAAAAAAAUCUAUUAUGUAAAUGUUAAAAAAUCUAGAAACGUUUUCUGAAAUCAAUGUCAAAUGCACUUUUCAUGUUGUUUUGUGUUCUUGUAUUUUAGGACUGAUAAUGUAAUUUUAAACUCCUGCAAUGCCCAAGCUCCUAAUUUAUUCAACUCCUUUUUAUUAAAACUUUAGUAUUAUGAUCCUCAGAAAAUCAUAAAAACACACUGCCUCACACAAAACACUCUCUAUGAUGCAGUAACCUCUAGGAACUCCAUAGUUUCUCAACACUCCAAAAACACAUAAAAUGCAAAUACAUACGAGUUUCCGAGGCAAUAAGGAGUUACUUUAAUUGUACUGCAAGUCUGCAAGGAUCAUGCCUCUUUCAAGCUUUCCAGGAAUCAAGGGGUGGAGUGUCUGCUGUCUUCCAUGUAAAUGCAGUGCUCUCAUAUCUAUCACCCUUAACACCAUCUGCUGAAGCAAUGGAUUCUAGUUCAGCCAUUUCUUCUGGAGUUAGUUUCACUGACAAAGCCCCAAUGUUUUGUUUGAGGUUUUCAAUCUUGGUAGUUCCCGGUAUGGGACACACAUCAUCGCCCUGGUGAUGGACCCAGGCCAGUGCUAGCUGUGAUGGAGUGCAUCCCUUCCUUGUCGCAAUUUCACUAACCCUCUCAUAAAGGAUUUUAUUAUGCCCAAGAUUCUCUGGCUGGAACCUUGGUAGGUUCUGCAAUUUGAAACACACAUUUCAGUAACAAAAUUGAAAACCC
rnacentral:lncRNA from 1 species